GAUGAAGAACGCAGCGAAAUGCGAUAAGUAAUGUGAAUUGCAGAAUUCAGUGAAUCAUCGAAUCUUUGAACGCACAUUGCGCCCGCUAGUAUUCUGGCGGGCAGGCCUGUCCGAGCGUCAUUUCAACCCUCAAGCCCCCGGGCUUGGUGUUGGGGAUCGGCGAGCCUCCGCGCCCGCCGUCCCCUAAAUCUAGUGGCGGUCUCGCUGUAGCUUCCUCUGCGUAGUAGCACACCUCGCACUGGGAAACAGCGCGGCCACGCCGUUAAACCCCCAACUUCUGAACGUUUGACCUCGGAUCAGGUAGGAAUACCCGCUGAACUUAAGCAUAUCAAUGAGCGGAGGA
rnacentral:misc_RNA from 1 species